rnacentral:rRNA from 1 species
GUGUGGACGCCAGUCUGCAUGGAGCCGGCCUUGAAAUACCACCCUUUAAUGUUUGAUGUUCUAACGUGGACCCGUGAUCCGGGUUGCGGACAGUGUCUGGUGGGUAGUUUGACUGGGGCGGUCUCCUCCUAAAGAGUAACGGAGGAGCACGAAGGUUGGCUAAUCCUGGUCGGACAUCAGGAGGUUAGUGCAAUGGCAUAAGCCAGCUUGACUGCGAGCGUGACGGCGCGAGCAGGUGCGAAAGCAGGUCAUAGUGAUCCGGUGGUUCUGAAUGGAAGGGCCAUCGCUCAACGGAUAAAAGGUACUCCGGGGAUAACAGGCUGAUACCGCCCAAGAGUUCAUAUCGACGGCGGUGUUUGGCACCUCGAUGUCGGCUCAUCACAUCCUGGGGCUGAAGUAGGUCCCAAGGGUAUGGCUGUUCGCCAUUUAAAGUGGUACGCGAGCUGGGUUUAGAACGUCGUGAGACAGUUCGGUCCCUAUCUGCCGUGGGCGCUGGAGAACUGAGGGGGGCUGCUCCUAGUACGAGAGGACCGGAGUGGACGCAUCACUGGUGUUCGGGUUGUCAUGCCAAUGGCACUGCCCGGUAGCUAAAUGCGGAAGAGAUAAGUGCUGAAAGCAUCUAAGCACGAAACUUGCCCCGAGAUGAGUUCUCCCUGACCCUUUAAGGGUCCUGAAGGAACGUUGAAGACGACGACGUUGAUAGGCCGGGUGUGUAAGCGCAGCGAUGCGUUGAGCUAACCGGUACUAAUGAACCGUGAGGCUUAACCUU